GCGGCAGGCCGCUUUAUCGUGCUGAUAUUUUUUCGAUCAGUAAGGAAAGUCCGGGCAACACAGGGCACCGUGCUUCUUAACGGGAAGAUCUUUGAAAAAGGAUAGCAACGUAACAGAAAAUAACCACCUUGACGAUAACAUCAGGGAACGGGUGAAAAGGUGCGGUAAAAGCGCACCGGUAUUGAUGGUAACAUCAUUAACCGUACGUCUCAUGGGUUGCAAAGUCAAGUAUAUCCUGAUUGUUUAUCGUUGUUGCGGUAAACAGCGAAAUGCCCGUUUCGUUAUUCUUAAUUAAAGAAAGUCAGGAGGGGUAGGCUGCAGGACUGAGAUAGUGAUAUCUCGGCUAGAUAAAUGAUAAAGUUUCCGGUAAUCACUUUGUGAUAUCCGGAAGAACAGAACCCGGCUUACAGGCCUGCCUUCUUU
rnacentral:RNase_P_RNA from 1 species